rnacentral:misc_RNA from 1 species
UUGAAGCAGCUACCGCUGGGC